UAGGGAAUUUUCCACAAUGGGCGAAAGCCUGAUGGAGCGACGCCGCGUGAGGGAUGAAGGUCUUCGGAUUGUAAACCUCUUUGGAGUGGGAAGAACGGCAUGGGUGUUAACAGCGCCCGUGCGUGACGGUACCACUAGAACAAGACACGGCUAACUUCGUGCCAGCAGCCGCGGUAAUACGAAGGUGUCAAACGUUGUCCGGAAUUACUGGGCGUAAAGGGCGCGUAGGCGGCUUGAUAAGUCAGAUGUGAAAGCUCAGGGCUUAACCCUGGAAUUGCAUCUGAUACUGUUGAGCUUGAGUUCGGUAGAGGAGGGCGGAAUUCCAGGUGUAGCGGUGAAAUGCGUAGAUAUCUGGAGGAACACCCGUGGCGAAGGCGGCUCUCUGGUCCGAUACUGACGCUGAGGUGCGAAAGCUAGGGUAGCAAACAGG
rnacentral:rRNA from 1 species